GAUGAACGCUAGCGGCAGGCUUAAUACAUGCAAGUCGAGGGGCAGCAGGUUUGUAGCAAUACAGAUGCUGGCGACCGGCUAACGGGUGAGGAACACGUACGCAACUUUCCUUCAAGUGAGGAAUAGCCCAGGGAAACUUGGAUUAAUACUUCGUAAUAUUAUGAGAUGGCAUCAUUUUAUAAUUAUAGCUUCGGCGCUUGAAGAUGGGCGUGCGCCUGAUUAGGUAGUUGGCGGGGUAACGGCCCACCAAGCCGACGAUCAGUAACUGGUGUGAGAGCACGACCAGUCACACGGGCACUGAGACACGGGCCCGACUCCUACGGGAGGCAGCAGUAAGGAAUAUUGGGCAAUGGACGAAAGUCUGACCCAGCCAUGCCGCGUGGAGGAUGAAGGUCCUCUGGAUUGUAAACUUCUUUUAUUUGGGAAGAAAUCUAUGGUUUCUACUGUAGUUGACGGUACCAGAUGAAUAAGCACCGGCUAACUCCGUGCCAGCAGCCGCAGUAACAC
rnacentral:rRNA from 1 species